UAGCUAUAUGGUAAAGAAUCUGCCUGCAAUGCAGGAGACCCAGGUUCAAUCCCUGG
rnacentral:tRNA from 1 species